UGGGGAAUAUUGCGCAAUGGGGGAAACCCUGACGCAGCGACGCCGCGUGCGGGAUGAAGGCCUUCGGGGUGUAAACCGCUUUUGAUUGGGAGCAAGCUUUCGGGUGAGUGUACCUUUCGAAUAAGCGCCGGCUAACUACGUGCCAGCAGCCGCGGUAAUACGUAGGGCGCAAGCGUUAUCCGGAAUUAUUGGGCGUAAAGAGCUUGUAGGCGGUUCGUCGCGUCUGGUGUGAAAGCCCAUCGCUUAACGGAGGGUUUGCGGCGGGUACGGGCGGGCUAGAGUGGAGUAGGGGAGACUGGAAUUCUCGGUGUAACGGUGGAAUGUGUAGAUAUCGGGAAGAACACCAAGGGCGAAGGCAGGUCUCUGGGCUGUUACUGACGCUGGGAAGCGAAAGCGUGGGGAGCGAACAGG
rnacentral:rRNA from 1 species